rnacentral:RNase_P_RNA from 1 species
GGCAGCACAGGGCAAUGCAUCCCGCUAACGGCGGGACAGCUCCGAAAGGGGUUCGAGACAGUGCCACAGAAAAUUACAGCCUUCGUCCGCAAGGAUUUGUCCCCGCCCCAGGCGGGGAGGGUGAUGGUGAAAAUGUGGGGUAAGAGCCCACGGGGAAGGCGCCGGAAGGCCCCUCCCGGGUAAACCUUGCGUGCUGAAAUGCCAUGUAUAGGAACGUUGAGGGGCGGCUCGCUCCUGCGGCGCCCGAAAGGGCACCCGCGUUCCAGGGUAGGCAGAUAGAGGCGGCCAGCAAUGGACGUCCCAGAUAAAUGAUAGCGCGUUCCCGAAAGGGAGCGACAGAACCCGGCUUACAGGCCUGCAGUCUUU